rnacentral:rRNA from 1 species
CGCCUGGGGAGUACGGCCGCAAGGUUAAAACUCAAAUGAAUUGACGGGGGCCCGCACAAGCGGUGGAGCAUGUGGUUUAAUUCGAUGCAACGCGAAGAACCUUACCUGGUCUUGACAUCCACGGAAGAAUUCAGAGAUGGAUUUGUGCCUUCGGGAACCGUGAGACAGGUGCUGCAUGGCUGUCGUCAGCUCGUGUUGUGAAAUGUUGGGUUAAGUCCCGCAACGAGCGCAACCCUUAUCCUUUGUUGCCAGCGGUCCGGCCGGGAACUCAAAGGAGACUGCCAGUGAUAAACUGGAGGAAGGUGGGGAUGACGUCAAGUCAUCAUGGCCCUUACGACCAGGGCUACACACGUGCUACAAUGGCGCAUACAAAGAGAAGCGACCUCGCGAGAGCAAGCGGACCUCAUAAAGUGCGUCGUAGUCCGGAUUGGAGUCUGCAACUCGACUCCAUGAAGUCGGAAUCGCUAGUAAUCGUGGAUCAGAAUGCCACGGUGAAUACGUUCCCGGGCCUUGUACACACCGCCCGUCACACCAUGGGAGUGGGUUGCAAAAGAAGUAGGUAGCUUAACCUUCGGGAGGGCGCUUACCACUUUGUGAUUCAUGACUGGGGUGAAGUCGUAACAAGGUAACCGUAGGGGAACCUGCGGUUGGAUCACCUCCUUACCUUAAAGAAGC